CAAGUCUCUACCCAUCCUUUUAACAGACAGCAGAGCCAGUGUCCCCUGAUCUACCCAGCAGGUGGAGCACUAGCAAGUCUCUACCCGUCCUUUUAACAUUUUAACAGACAGCUGGGGUAGUGAUAACAAUAACAUGGAGCAAUAGUCAAGAUUCACAGUGGUUUUAAUAAAGGACUGUCACUCACAUUAUGGGUGGAAUGACUUAUGCAGCCUUUGAAUUGCAGUUCUUAGUCUUUUACAUGUAAGGUAAUUUCAUAUAAAGACAAGUGACUCUUGGAUUGAGAUGGUAGGUACGGUACAUCUCUGUCAACUGUUCACUGUAUGGACCUCAGAAAGACAAGUCCAUAUACACAAUAAUAUUCAUAGUUUUUUUGUCUCAAUGUGUAUUUUUUUUAUUUCAGUAUUGAAAGCACAGAAGCUGAACAUGUCCAUGUGAGUAGUUACGUAAAUGCUUGUGUUUGCUCUCGGUUAUUUCCCUGUUUACAUGCAAUGGAAAGGUCUAGAAUAGCAGCUAGCUCUGCAAUAAAUCAGAAGCGGCAUACAUUAUCCAAGUAAGGAAAUAGUGAAAUCAACAGUCAGUCACAACUGCUGAGCUUUUAUUUAAAUGGAUUUUGUUUCAAUUUCCUGCAUUGUUUAAUGGUUAAAUUACAACUAUAUUCUUUCAAUUUUUCACACUGUAUGUUCUAUAACUUAGCUAUUACCAAUGUUUCAAAUAAACCUUUGCAUUUUUAAAAAAAAUUGGAAACUUGUGGCAGAAAUUCUACAAAUCAUUGGUCACACUAGGAAAAACUUCCCUGACCUCUGUUCCAAAUUCUCCCUCUUUUUUUUCAUUCAACUUUAUAUCAUCGACGUCCAUUGUUUCUCUCACUUCUCUGAAGCAUGGACGAUUACCAAAGGCUCCUUUACUGCUGAUCUGGCGCUGUAAUAUUAGGCUUGGAUUACAGGACACAUGACUGUGCAGAAAUGUUUGCAGUAAAAAAGAAAAAAAGCACAUCAACUCUUCUAAGCCUGCAUGGAUCACUGAACUGAGGCAUGUAAUCAUAACGUUCCUGAAUCACUCAUCUCAUAUUUAUGUUUCCACCCACCCCGAAAAAUUCCAUUGCGGUACAUACUACCUUCCCCAGGAAAAACGAAUUAUUCCGCAUGAAAAAGAAUCCAUGGUAACCAAUCCGCGCACAAUGUGUGCAGACUACCAAAUAUCUUCGAGCGCGCUCCGCUCUUGUGUAUC
ensembl:lncRNA